rnacentral:rRNA from 1 species
CCAUGAAGUUGGAUUCGCUAGUAAUCGCGCAUCAGCCAUGGCGCGGUGAAUACGUUCCCGGGCCUUGUACACACCGCCCGUCAAGCCAUGGAAGCUGGGGGUGCCUGAAGUUCGUGACCGGAAGGAGCGACCUAGGGCAAAACCGGUGACUGGGGCUAAGUCGUAACAAGGUAAC